rnacentral:rRNA from 1 species
CUCCGGUUGAUCCCGCCGGACCCGACUGCUAUCAGAGUGGGACUAAGCCAUGCGAGUCAACAUAGCAAUAUGUGGCAUACGGCUCAGUAACACGUAGUCAACAUGCCCAGGGGACGUGGAUAACCUCGGGAAACUGAGGAUAAACCGCGAUAGGUCAUCACUUCUGGAAUGGGUAAUGACUUAAAUCUAUAUGGCCCCUGGAUUGGACUGCGGCCGAUCAGGCUGUUGGUGAGGUAAUGGCCCACCAAACCUGUAACCGGUACGGGCUCUGAGAGGAGGAGCCCGGAGAUGGGCACUGAGACAAGGGCCCAGGCCCUAUGGGGCGCAGCAGGCGCGAAACCUCUGCAAUAGGCGAAAGCUUGACAGGGUUACUCUGAGUGAUUUCCGUUAAGGAGAUCUUUUGGCACCUCUAAAAAUGGUGCAGAAUAAGGGGUGGGCAAGUCUGGUGUCAGCCGCCGCGGUAAUACCAGCACCCCGAGUGGUCGGGACGUUUAUUGGGCCUAAAGCAUCCGUAGCCGGUUCUACAAGUCUUCCGUUAAAUCCACCUGCUUAACAGAUGGGCUGCGGAAGAUACUAUAGAGCUAGGAGGCGGGAGAGGCAAGCGGUACUCGAUGGGUAGGGGUAAAAUCCGUUGAUCCAUUGAAGACCACCAGUGGCGAAGGCGGCUUGCCAGAACGCGCUCGACGGUGAGGGAUGAAAGCUGGGGGAGCAAACCGGAUUAGAUACCCGGGUAGUCCCAGCUGUAAACGAUGCAGACUCGGUGAUGAGUUGGCUUAUUGCUAACUCAGUGCCGCAGGGAAGCCGUUAAGUUUGUCGCCUGGGGAGUACGGUCGCAAGACUGAAACUUAAAGGAAUUGGCGGGGGAGCA